rnacentral:tRNA from 1 species
CAAAGCAUAGCUUAACACAAAGCAUCCGGCUUACACCCGAAAGAUUUCAAAAUAUUUGACUGCUUUGA